CGCGUAGGCGGUUUGGCAAGUCUGAUGUGAAAUGUACCGGUUCAACCGGGGCGCUGUAUCAGAAACUGCCUUACUUGAGGUCGAGGGAGGAGAGUGGGAUUCCUGGUGUAGCGGUGAAAUGCGUAGAUAUCAGGAGGAACACCCGUGGCGAAGGCGACUCUCUAUCUCGAUUCUGACGCUGAGGCGCGAAAGCUAGGGGAGCAAACAGGAUUAGAUACCCUGGUAGUCC
rnacentral:rRNA from 1 species